CCAUCUCGCCUGCCUUCGGAGCGUUCGCGAUCGAGAUUGCGAUCGUCAGCAGUGGCGGAGAGCCCCUCUCGAGUCCCCUCGCAGUCGGAAUCGAAGCUUUAUGGUGGAUUCCCUGGCGAAUUAGAUGAGCUCGUCAGAAUCCCCUUAUGGAGUCCUCCCGACCGACAUCGUCACACAGAUCCUCGCGCGGCUGCCCGUCUAUUCCCUCUUCCGAUGCAGGUCCGUCUGCAAGCUGUGGAACCGAUUGCCCUUUGAGAAGCACUUCGUCGACCUCUACUUCCGGAUCGGCCCCAAAGACCCCAUCUUGCUGUUGGAAUUCCCCGAGUCCAGCGCCUUCCUCUCGGUCGACCGAUUUCGGGGGGUCUCGGCCUUCUCCCUGGGAUUCUUGAACGAUAAGGUCAAGAUCAGGGCCUCCUGCAAUGGCUUGCUGUGCUGCUCCAGCGUUCGGAAUCGUGGCGUUUACUACGUCUGCAAUCCGGUCACCCGAGAGUUCCGUGUGCUGCCGAGAGCGAGGGAGAGGCCCCUCACUCGGUGCCAACCGGAGUACGAGGCUACCCUCGUCGGCUUGGCGUUUGAUCCCGUCUCUUGGAAGUUUAAUGUUGUUCUUGCUGGAUUCCAUCGUUUUUUUGGUCACCGGCCUCAUGGCGAGUUCGUCUCCCUGGUGUUCGAUUCGGAAACCAAUUCUUGGAGUCGAUCGGUUUCGUUGAUGCACGACGAGUUCACCCACAUGAAUCGCUGCCAAGUUGUGUUUUCUUGUGGCUUACUGCAUUGGUUGACGCAUAGCUGUUCUUAUGUGCUUGCUUUUGAUUUGAAAAGUGGAGUUUGGGGGAAAAUCUUGCUGCCGGAUGAAGUGCUGACGACAAGGUCUGGAUCCAGGGUUUACCUUCUGGAGCUGGAAGGAUCGGUGUCGGUCGUUCAGAUAACUGGGGUUUGGAUGAGCAUAUGGGUUUUAAGAAAUCAUGACACUGAGCAAUGGACUUUGGUUGAUAGAGUGCAUCUCCGGUGCAUCAGUGCGUUUGCUGCAAGCAUAUUUCCUGUGAGCCAGUCGAGAGAUGUCGCCUUCAUGGCGACGCAGAAGAAGAUUUUGAUAUACAACUUGAAGGGCAAGGUGUGGAAGGAGGUAUACGGUGCAAAUGGAACUGUGACAUAUCCACUGUGGUUUUCAUCUUAUGGUUUCAGGAGCACACUUUUUCCUUGUCAUCUUUAAGCGACCAGAUUAUGCCAUGCGCUUGGUCAAUAUUGAGUUUCUCUAACUAAUCAACAAGUGAUAUGCAUGACAUAUUAUUGCCCAGAGAUUGUCACACAAGGCAUAGUCAUCAUCCAUAUGGGAAUAAGCAGUCUGUCCUGCUGAUGCGGCCGUGACAGUGGAGGAGUUCUUCGAGUGGUUGCAGAAUGCAAUGCAGUCCGGCAUGUUUGAAGCCAACAGCCAACAGCAUAGCAAAUGAGAGCCCUUCUCCCAGAAUUGGCAGUUGCUUCAAGAACAACCUCUAACAAGAAGAAAGGUCCUAUGAAACCCUGUAAAAAACAUGACCACCUUAUCCUAUUAGCCAUAACAACACUCCUAAUCCUGCUUGAACAGAUGAUUACUUCGACCGGAGUCGCAUCAUCUGCAGUCACUGAUGCUAAACUAUGCUAGUGUGGAAAUCCAAUCCAGCAAGAUUUUGACUUUAUGCAAGUCUAGUGGUUGAAGAUUUAUACUUAUGUUGUAAGGUACUGUUGAGAAUCAUUUUCUGGCUGUGCAACAAAGGAUGUCAAAGCAUCAUGAGACACUUUUCAGUGUUAGACAGUAUACAUGAAAGUUGAUCUGUGUCAGACUAAUGAGUUGGCUUUGUUUCUUUUUGAAGUCUGUAUUCAGAGCAAGUUGAAAUGUAUGGUCAUUGUAGAC